CCCACUUCAACUCAAGAAUAAGCAACAUUUGAUUCUAGCCACCAAGUCUCUAAUGCUUGUCCUUAAUAUUCUAACAACAUAGGCAAUGAGCUACAAAGUCUGCCACAUCUCUCUUCAUGCCACUCCAGCAAUAGUGUUACCUAAAAUCUUUAUACAUCUUAGUUGUACCAGGGUGAAUACAGUAUCUAUAGAUAUAAUCCUCAUGUAAUAUUGACUAAAUCAAGUCUCCAACCCUCAAAACACAAAGGUGGCGAUCAUAUCUUAGAACACCCUCUGAAUCUAUGGUAUCCCUCUUGGACACACCACUCAACACCUAGUCAAUGAUGACAUAAAGUCUCACAUCCUCGAACUGGAGACUUCAAAUCUACUCAAAUAAAGUACACCUUGCCUCAGUACUAACAAGAACCUCCUGGGGACAAAGAUAUCAAGUCACACCAUCAAGUUGGCUAAGGACUGAAUGCUCCACACCAACGGACUCUGAGAAACUGAGAUACAAUACAAGCUACUCAUACUUACUGCCUUUUGGCUCAAGGCAUCCCCUACCAGGUUUGCUUUGCCUAGAUGAUAUAGAAUAGAUUUGUCAUAAUCCUUAAGCAACUUCAUCCAUCUACGCUUCUUAGAAUUAAGCUCUCUUUGAGUUAUAAGGUGUUGAAGACUAUGAUGAUCCGUAUAGAUCUCACAAUGCAUACCAUAAAGAUAAUGCCUCUAAAUCUAAAGUGUGAAAACUAUCACCGCCAACUCCAAAUCAUUAAUGGGAAGUUGAGCUCGUGAACCUUUAUCUGCCUCAACACAUAAGUAAUAACUUGACCUUGUUGCAUCAACACAAAACCUAAACCAACACUGAAAGCAUCACAGUGAAUCCCUUAAGAGACAAUAUAGCAGCUAAAGUGACAAAUCCCUUGAGCUUUUAAAAUCUCAACUCACACUCCUCGAACCACUAGAAAGAAACCUCUAUCUGAGUCAAUCUGGUCAUUGGCGCUGUAACAGUAGCAAAAGCCUCAAUGAAUCACCUAUAGUAACCAACCAAGCCAAUGAAACUAUGAACCUCAGGCGGAUAUUUAGGCCUGACCCAAUCACGAAUAGCCUCAAUCUUUGUUGGGUCCACCAUAAUUCCAUCUUAGAAACCACAUGUCCUAGGAAAGUCAUUGAAUCAAGCCAGAACUAAUACUUAGAUAAGUUGGCAGAAAGUCUAUGAUCUCUCAAAGUCUGGAUCACAAUCCUCAAAUAUUGCAUAUGCUUCUCUCUACUCCUCGAAUACAUAAGGAUGCCAUCGAUGGACACAAUCAACUAGGAAUCCAAAAAAGUCCUGAACACAUAAUUCAUCAAAUCCAUGAACAUUGUUGGGGCAUUGGUCAACCCAAAAGAUGUCACUUGGAACUCAUAAUGGCCAUAAUGAGUCCUAAAGGCUAUCUUUGGGAUUUCCUCAGCCCAAAUCCUCAACUGAUGGUAACUGUACCUCAAGUAAAUCUUAGAGAACACUGCCACUCCCUAAAGCUAGUCAAAUAGAUCAUCAAUGCAAAGCAUAAGAUACCUAUCCUGCACUGUUACCUUAUUAAGUUACAUGUAGUCAAUACAUAUAUGCAAGGAACCAUCCUUCUUCUUCAUGAACAAAAUAGGAGCACCCAAGGCAACAUACUCAAUCUAAUGAAAUCCUUAUCUAGAAGAUACCAAAGCUGAGAAUUUAGCAUUUUAAGCUCGAUAGGAUACAUACAAUAAGGUGCCAUAAAAAUAGGUCGGGUGCCAAGCUCAAGAUCAAUAAUAAACUCAAUAUCACGCUCAAUAGGAAGACCAGGUACUCGUUAGAGAAAACAAUAGGAAACUCACGGAUACCUAGACGCCAAAGAAAGCUUGCUGAAAUCCGCUAAACCAUCUAUUUUUCUUUCUUAGAAGCUUCUGCACGAUAUCACGCUAUCAAAAUAAUAAUCUACUAAUCAUUACUAGAACAAUGGUACCCAUAUUGAAUUUUUACGCUUCAGGUCCAAAAUCACCUUAAAAAAUUCCAUAUGGGUCUACUUGUGAAAUCAUACCUUCAAAACCGUCAAUGCAUUCCUCUAUGCUCAAGGAAGAUUUAUCCUCAAUAAUGGGUAAAUUUCGAGCUCAAAUGGUGCUAAAAUCAACCUACUAAUCUAGGGAUUUUGGAAAUUUAGAGAGAAUUUAACCCUGAAUUUAGUGGAAACUUACCAAGAAUUCGAGAAAAAAUGAGAAAUCUAAGCUCACAAACACCCCAAAAUCACAUAUUAAUGUUUCUCCCAAGUUUCCACACUCUCUUGGCCUUUCACUCUUGAGACUUGUAAGAAAUAUGGGAGAAAAUUAGGCUAAUUGGGUAUUAAUGGCCCCCCAGGUGCCGCUUAAGCAGACAUGGACAGCUAAAGCAGAUUGUACCGCUUAAGCGGUACCCGCUGCCUGCACCCCCUUAGCUUAAGUAGAUCAUUUUUUGCUUUAGCGACCUUCGGUUAAAUGGAAAGGGCUUGCUUAAGCGUGCCUUAUUUGGUCAAGCAGGGUCGCUUAAGUGACCGGCUACCCACUUGAGCGGCCUACGCUUAAGCAACCCAAGUGGCGCUUAAGCAUAUGCACCAGUAGAGUGGUGCACCAGCUGGGACUUAGAAAAUUCCAAGUCUCCACUGACCCCUCGAGAUUAAUCUGGAAUCUCAUAAAUGUAAACAAACUAUGAUACUCUAUCAAAUUUGAAGUUUUGGACUCAAUGGCACAGUCCAGAUUUCCAUUCGAGGUUGUUUUGAAAAAAAGCGAGUCCCACACACAAGUGCUAUUUUUAUCAAUUUUUGGCCAAUAUCACAAAUUGAGUCCACAAACCUUGGGACCCAAACCAAUGAUUACCCUAGCCUAAAAUCGAUGUUCCAAAGCAAUUAGAACUGUCAAAAUGGACAUAUGAGGUCGUUUGACUAAAGUUUUUGCUCAGUGGCCAAUUCUUACUAGUGAAGACUUCAAAAUAGGAGAUUAUCUCUAAAAACCAAACGAAUUGCCCGGUGUCCGAAUUGUCAGCUCCAAAAAGUUAUAAAUAACUUGGGCCAUCUAUAGAAAAGCUUUAAAUGUAAAAAAAAAUGGAAAUACAAAAAAUGACCAGGAAGGUAAUUACAAUAUCCACUACUAAAAGAACUUUUGUCUGCAAAAGUAAAGGAUUAGGAUGUACCUAAAGCCUCGUACAGGUAAGGAUACUGGGCCCACAUCUCACUCUCGGUCUCCCAGGUAGCCUCCACUACUAGGUGGUGUCUCCACUGACCUUAACUAAUGGAAUCUCUCUAGAGCACAACCGAGUGGCUUCCGUAGUUAAUAUGAACUCAAGCUUCUUCACAAAGUUCAAUCACUCAUCCAACUAAAUUGAGUCCCAUCGAAGCACAUAGUUCUCAUCGGGAAUGCACUAUCACAACAUAAAAACUGGAUGAACAACAGCAAAAUCUAAGGGUAAGGCUAACUUAUAUACCACUUCUCUAACUGUGAGAAGGAUCUCAAAAGGUAAAAUAUAUAUGGGGCUAAGCUUUUCCAUCUUCCCAAAUCUCAUCACACCCUUCAUGGGUGAUACACGAAGGAAUACCUAUUCACCAACUCCAAAUCUUAAGGAAUAAAGUCUACGGUCUGCAUAAGUCUUCUACCUACUCUGAGAUACCUUCAACCUAUCAUGAAUCACCCUGACUCUAUCCAAUGACUCCCAAAGAAAGUACCAUGGGGUCUAAUCUCGGAGGUCUCAAACUAUCCAAUCGAAGAACGAAAUGUCCACCAUGUAAAGCCUCUAAUGGUGUCAUCUAAAUACUCAAAUAGUAGCUAUCAUUAUAUGCAAACUCUGCUAAUGCUAAGUUUUUCUCCCACUUACCUCCAAAAUCCAUAACACGGGCUUGGAGCAUAUCCUUAAGAAUCUGAAUAGUCUACUCUGACUGCCCAUUGGUCUGGGGUUGGAAGGUUGUGCUAAGAUUUAUUUGAGUACCCAACUCCUCUUAAAAAGCGUGCCAAAAGCUAGAAGUAAUACUGAACCGAAUCUGAUAUGACGGAUAUAGGCACACCAUUCGAAUAAAAUAUUGCAUGAAUAUAGAUACGGGCUAACCUCUCGGUGCUAAAGGACAUCUGAAUAGGAAUAAAGUAUGCCGACUUGGUCAACCAAUCUACAAUAACCCAAAUACCAUCAAAAUCAUGGAAAGUUUGAGGUGGACCACUAACAAAGUCCAUGGUGAUCCGCUCCCACUUCAACUCAAGAAUAAGCAACAUUUGAUUCUAGCCACCAAGUCUCUAAUGCUUGUCCUUAAUAUUCUAACAACAUAGGCAAUGAGCUACAAAGUCUGCCAUAUCUCUGUUCAUGCCACUCCAGCAAUAGUGUUACCUAAAAUCUUUAUACAUCUUAGUUGUACCAGGGUGAAUACAGUAUCUAUAGAUAUAAUCCUCACGUAAUAUUGACUAAAUCAAGUCUCCAACCCUCAAAACACAAAGGUGGCGAUCAUAUCUUAGAACACCCUCUGAAUCUAUGGUAUCCCUCUUGGACACACCACUCAACACCUAGUCAAUGAUGACAUAAAGUCUCACAUCCUCGAACUGGAGACUUCAAAUCUACUCAAAUAAAGUACACCUUGCCUCAGUACUAACAAGAACCUCCUGGGGACAAAGAUAUCAAGUCACACCAUCAAGUUGGCUAAGGACUGAAUGCUCCACACCAACGGACUCUGAGAAACUGAGAUACAAUACAAGCUACUCAUACUUACUGCC
rnacentral:lncRNA from 1 species